rnacentral:rRNA from 1 species
AAUGAACGCUGGCGGCGCGCCUAACACAUGCAAGUCGAGCGAGAAAGUUCCUUCGGGGAUGAGUACAGCGGCGGACGGUUGAGUAACACGUGAGAAUCUACCCUUUAGUGAAGGAUACCCUCGAGAAAUUGAGGUUAAUACUUCAUGAGCCCCCUUGGGGGGAAAGGCCGCCUCUUUGCGGUCGCUAAAGGAUGAGCUUGCGGCCUAUCAGUUUGUUGGUGAGGUAAAGGCUUACCAAGACGAUGACGGGUAGCCGGCCUGAGAGGGUGUACGGCCAGAUUGGAACUGAGAUACGGUCCAGACUCCUACGGGAGGCAGCAGUGAGGAAUAUUGCACAAUGGGCGAAAGCCUGACGCAGCGACGCCGCGUGAGGGAUGAAGGUUCUCGUGGUUGUAAACCUCUGUCAGGAAGGAUUAAAUGGGUAUAUAUAAAUAGUGUAU